rnacentral:lncRNA from 1 species
UCCAAUCCAUUGUAAUGUUUGGUAUCUAAGUUGGGAUGCAAAAGUGCAUUGCAAGAAUAAGUGAUCUCUAGUUUCCAUAUCUUGCUGGCACAUAACACAGUUGCCUGAUACAUUCAGAUUCCAUUGCAGCAGCCUGUUCUUGGUAGGGAGUCUAUCUUGCAGUAACAGCCACAAACUGAAGAUUGCUUUAGGUCGAGCAGCAUUCUGUAUUACCAAAUUCUUCCAAGGGACUCUAGGUGUCUCUCCNNN